rnacentral:rRNA from 1 species
UACGUAGGUGGCAAGCGUUGUCCGGAAUUAUUGGGCGUAAAGCGCGCGCAGGCGGUUUCUUAAGUCUGAUGUGAAAGCCCACGGCUCAACCGUGGAGGGUCAUUGGAAACUGGGAACUUGAGUGCAGAAGAGAAGAGCGGAAUUCCACGUGUAGCGGUGAAAUGCGUAGAGAUGUGAGGAACACCAGUGGCGAAGGCGGCUCUUGGUCUGUAACUGACGCUGAGCGCGAAGCGUGGGAGCAAACAGG